rnacentral:tRNA from 1 species
AGGAGAUGUAUUUAUGGAUUUACAGGCCUU